rnacentral:rRNA from 1 species
GAAAGUAAGAAAGGGCGCAUGGCGGAUGCCUUGGCUCUCGGAGGCGAUGAAGGACGUGAUAAGCUGCGAUAAGCUGCGGGUAGGUGCAAAUGACCUUUGAUCCGCGGAUUUCCGAAUGGGACAACCCAAUUGGUUGAAGACCAAUUAUACUGCACUGCAGUAGGCUAACGCAGGGAACUGAAACAUCUUAGUACCUGCAGGAAAAGAAAAUAAAUAAUGAUUCCCCUAGUAGUGGCGAGCGAACGGGGAAUAGCCCAAACCAAUUAUGUUACGGCAUAAUUGGGGUUGUAGGACCACGUUUUGGGACGAAAGUUGGUGAGUGGAAUGAUCUGGAAAGUUCAGUCAUAGACGGUGAUAACCCUGUACACGAAGCCAUCUGAACCCUAGUGGUAUCCUGAGUAGCGCGGAGCACGAGGAAUUCUGCGUGAAUCUGCCGGGACCAUCCGGUAAGGCUAAAUACUCCCGAGAGACCGAUAGCGAACCAGUACUGUGAAGGAAAGGUGAAAAGCACUUCGAAUAGAAGAGUGAAAUAGUCCCUGAAACCGUGCGCCUACAAGCGGUCGGAGCAGCUUUUUGUUGUGACGGCGUGCCUUUUGCAUAAUGAACCUACGAGUUACUUUUUCCGGCAAGGUUAAGCGUCUGAAGACGUGCAGCCGAAGCGAAAGCGAGUCUGAACAGGGCGUUAUAGUCGGAAGGAGUAGACGCGAAACCAAGUGAUCUACCCUUGGGCAGGUUGAAGGUUAGGUAACACUAACUGGAGGACCGAACCGAUAAGCGUUGAAAAGCUUCCGGAUGACCUGAGGGUGGGGGUGAAAGGCUAAUCAAACUUGGAGAUAGCUCGUACUCCCCGAAAUGCAUUUAGGUGCAGCCUUGUGAAUUACUAAUGUGAGGUAGAGCGACUGAUAAGAUGCGAGGGCUUCGCCGCCUAUCAAGUCUUGAUAAACUCCGAAUGCGCAUUAGUUCAAUCACAGGAGUGAGGGCAUGGGUGCUAAGGUCCAUGUCCGAAAGGAGAAGAAUCCAGACCAUCAGCUAAGGUCCCCAAAUAAACACUAAGUUGAACUAACGAAGUCAGAUUGCUAAGACAGCUAGGAUGUUGGCUUGGAAGCAGCCAUUCAUUUAAAGAGUGCGUAACAGCUCACUAGUCGAGGAGUUUGGCGUGGAUAAUAAUCGGGCAUUAAGUGUUUUACCGAAGCUAUGGGAUCAGUAAUGAUCGGUAGGGGAGCAUUCCACUCUGCGUUGAAGGUGUACCGUCAGGUAUGCUGGAGCGUGUGGAAAAGCAAAUGUAGGUAUAAGUAACGAUAAAGGGGGUGAGAAACCCCCUCGCCGAAAGACUAAGGUUUCCUGAUCAACGCUAAUCGGAUCAGGGUUAGUCGGGUCCUAAGGCUCAGCCGAACGGUGAUGCCGAUGGCAGAACAGGUUAAUAUUCCUGUACUACCUUUAGGAGUGACGUGGAGACGGAGGCGUGACAGCGCCGCGAACUGACGGAAUAGUUCGUUGAAGGGUGUAGAUGUUGAUUGCGGCAGGCAAAUCCACCGCAAGAGUCGAACCUGAUAGUAUGGAGCGUUCUUCUGAACAAUCCAAUAGUGCGUGUAAACAUACUCCCAAGAAAAUCCGCUAAACUUAAUCUUAAAGGUACCCGUACCGUAAACGGACACACGUAGUCGGGUUGAAUAUACUAAGGCGCUUGAGUGAAUCACGGUUAAGGAACUAGGCAAAUUGACCCUGUAACUUCGGGAUAAAGGGUCCCCGUCAGUGAUGGCGGGGCGCAGAGAAUAGGUCCAGGCAACUGUUUAACAAAAACACAGGGCUGUGCAAAAUUGAAAGAUCACGUAUACAGCCUGACACCUGCCCGGUGCUGGAAGGUUAAGAGGAGAUGUCAUCGCAAGAGAAGCAUUGAAUUGAAGCCCCAGUAAACGGCGGCCGUAACUAUAACGGUCCUAAGGUAGCGAAAUUCCUUGUCGGGUAAGUUCCGACCUGCACGAAUGGUGUAAUGAUCUGGACACUGUCUCAACCGUGAGCUCAGUGAAAUUGUAGUAUCGGUGAAGAUGCCGAUUACCCGCGAUGGGACGAAAAGACCCCGUGAACCUUUACUAUAGCUUAACAUUGAAUUUGGGUAAUUGAUGUGUAGGAUAGGCCGGAGACUUUGAAGCAGGUACGCCAGUAUUUGUGGAGUCGCUGUUGAAAUACGGCCCUUUGAUUAUUUGAGUUCUAACUCGUUGU